AUUGAACGCUGGCGGCAGGCCUAACACAUGCAAGUCGGACGGUAGCACAGAGGAGCUUGCUCCUUGGGUGACGAGUGGCGGACGGGUGAGUAAUGUCUGGGGAUCUGCCCGAUAGAGGGGGAUAACCACUGGAAACGGUGGCUAAUACCGCAUAACGUCGCAAGACCAAAGAGGGGGACCUUCGGGCCUCUCACUAUCGGAUGAACCCAGAUGGGAUUAGCUAGUAGGCGGGGUAAUGGCCCACCUAGGCGACGAUCCCUAGCUGGUCUGAGAGGAUGACCAGCCACACUGGAACUGAGACACGGUCCAGACUCCUACGGGAGGCAGCAGUGGGGAAUAUUGCACAAUGGGCGCAAGCCUGAUGCAGCCAUGCCGCGUGUAUGAAGAAGGCCUUCGGGUUGUAAAGUACUUUCAGCGGGGAGGAAGGCGGUGAGGUUAAUAACCUUGCCGAUUGACGUUACCCGCAGAAGAAGCACCAGCUAACUCCGUGCCAGCCGCCGCAGUAA
rnacentral:rRNA from 1 species